GACGAACGCUGGCGGCGUGCUUAACACAUGCAAGUCGAAUGGUAAGGCUCCAGCUUGCUGGGGUACACGAGUGGCGAACGGGUGAGUAACACGUGGGUGACCUGCCCUGCACUUCGGGAUAAGCCUGGGAAACUGGGUCUAAUACCGGAUAGGACCAUGGUGUGGAUACUGUGGUGGAAAGUUUUUUCGGUGUGGGAUGGGCCCGCGGCCUAUCAGCUUGUUGGUGGGGUAAUGGCCUACCAAGGCGGCGACGGGUAGCCGGCCUGAGAGGGUGGACGGCCACAUUGGGACUGAGACACGGCCCAGACUCCUACGGGAGGCAGCAGUGGGGAAUAUUGCACAAUGGGCGGAAGCCUGAUGCAGCGACGCCGCGUGGGGGAUGACGGCCUUCGGGUUGUAAACUCCUUUCACCAUCGACGAAGGGUUUCUGACGGUAGAUGGAGAAGAAGCACCGGCUAACUACGUG
rnacentral:rRNA from 1 species